GCCCCUUUAGCUCAGUGGUAGAGCGUUCCACUCGUAUGUUGUGUCAUAAUUGAAAUGGAAAGGUCUGGUGUUCAAUCCACCAAAAGGGCA
rnacentral:tRNA from 1 species